CUGUCUGGCUGUAGAUAUGGAUUCAGGCCCUGGGGCCAGUGUCCACCUCUGUGGCUGUGGCUUUAGGCCCUAGAUCUUGUGUCAGCCUAUAACAACGUGCAUUUGAAAAUGGUUCAUGUAAGGAAAUGAAAGCAAGAGAACACGGAGCUCUUCUGGGUAUUUCUAGAAUUGCGAAAGGGAUCGGAGAGCGUGCUCAGCCUUGGGUGGCUGGUUGUAUCCAGCAAUCCCUACCACAGUUGUAAACAUCACUAAAUCUUUGUUAUCCUGCUUGCCAGGAUUUGGAUGGGACAAGAAGCCAACGACUAUCAGUUUAGAGGAGGUAAUGAAUGUUAGCCGCUCCCCUUUCUUCUCCCCUUGCUACUUAGGUUACACAGUUCUUCUGUGCGAUGUGCCGGUGCAAUACCUCUGAGCAACCAUUUUGAUGGGUUCAGCAAUGCUUGGGGCAACAGGCUUUGGUCAUCCUCAGAUCUACAUGACGAGAGAGACUGAAAGAAAAAUAAAAUAGGAGGUAAUAGUCCUUUCUCUUCUUCUAGUCAGAAGACUAACCAAAGCUUCCAUACUACGUCUUUUGCCUUGAUAGGGGUGUUCCCUGAACCUCACAGCUUUAGCACAACACUUUCUGUUGAGAUUCCCGCCAACGGGGAAGUAUUAGUGCCAGUCCUCUGCCUCUUUUUGUUUCUGUUGUCUGGAUUUCAUUUAGUGGCCCAUGAACAGAGCCAGGAUAGCCAAGCCCUGCAGGUGGAGGCAGGGACCAGGCUCAGGAGCAAGGGCAGAGUGGUUUCUUUGUUUCUAAAGGGAAUGGCAGUGUUUUCUGCAGGUGGAUUUGCCACAGCCUUUCUUACAAGGACUGAGAGUGGGAUGAGAAGUGCCCUGAAGUUGCAAGUAGGCAAAAGAGCAAUGCAAAUCAAGGGAACUGUGUUGGAGACCCUGCCUGGGAGCAGAGUGACGUGAGAGCCCCACCACCUUCUGCUAGGAGCUGUGUAGAGUCCCCAUCCAAAUGGCGUGUUUCCUUAGCAAAACGGUUGUUCUUCUGGAAAGCCCCAGCUCCUCGCGUUACAUUACUACGUGAAGAAUCCCAGGCUGAAUUAUUUAGAACUACUUUUUUGUUAGUGGUCAAGUAAAACACGGCAACAGAGGCAGCGGGGGGUAACCUCAGGAAAAAGAGGGGACAAAAACAUCUCCUGUGUCAAGGCCUGACUUGAUGAGAAAGGAAGAGCUGUGGUUGGAGGUGUCCAUCUCCUAGACUGCACCCAGAGGAGGAGAAUGAUUCUGGCUCUGCAGUCUCGGAACUCCAGCAGUACACACAGGGAAGGAUUUCUGGGCUGAGAUGAAUUUAUAUCUCUGCAGCUUCUAAUCUUUUGCAUGUGGCGUUCUCAUGCAGUGAAGCUUUUGGACAUGGUUUAUCGUCACCGUAGCUGACCUGCAUGGGAAAAGAUGCCAUUAGGUCUCACAUGAAAGCUUUUAACCAAGCUUUGACUUGCCAGUGCUUUCCGUUGUCUCCACUUGCCUGGUGCCUCCUUGAAAAGUAUGCCUCGUCUGGAAAUCUCUAGAAAAAAAGCUAUUCCUAGCUUUUGUGCAAUAAAGAAGCAUUUGCAACAU
ensembl:lncRNA